UACGUAGGUGGCGAGCGUCGUCCGGAUUUACUGGGCGUAAAGGGAGCGUAGGCGGACUUUUAAGUGAGAUGUGAAAUACUCGGGCUCAACUUGAGUGCUGCAUUUCAAACUGGAAGUCUAGAGUGCAGGAGAGGAGAAUGGAAUUCCUAGUGUAGCGGUGAAACGCGUAGAGAUUAGGAAGAACACCAGUGGCGAAGGCGAUUCUCUGGACUGUGACUGACGCUGAGGCUCGAAAGCGUGGGGAGCAAACAGG
rnacentral:rRNA from 1 species